rnacentral:rRNA from 1 species
AUGUGUGUCCCAAAAGACCAAGGAGGUAUAGGCUUACGAGAUAUACACUAUUUCAAUCUGGCUUUGUUAGCCAAAUAAGCAUGGCUUUUGCUUGAUAAUCCUGAUGCCCUAUGUGCCACCAUCUUGAGCACUAAAUAUUUUUUGGAUGCCAACUUAAUGAAUGCACGCAUAAAAAAGGGUUCCUGUUUUACUUGGAAAGGCAUUGGCGGAAGUUCAUCCUCUCAAAAAUGUUAUAUCUGGAAAGUUGGAAAUGGACAGAAUAUUGAUAUUUGGAGAGAUGCAUGGAUCCUAAACUAUGUGAAUAGAAAAAUUAUUACUCCUAGAAGAGGGCAUCUUCUGUCAAAAGUUGUUGAUCUUAUCGAUCCAAUCACCAAUUUUUAUAAUGAAGAUUUAGUGAGACAAACAUUAUGGCCAAUUGAUGCUCAAAUGGUGCUCGAGAUUCCCCUCCCCAUCCAUAAUAUGAUGGAUUUCAUUGCUUGGAGCUAUACAAAAAAUGAAUUGUUCACGGUUCUUUCAGCUUAUUUGAAGGAAUGGAAUAAACAACAUGGGGGAACAAAUGUUAAUCCUAUUUAG